rnacentral:rRNA from 1 species
AGUGAACGCUGGCGGUAGGCCUAACACAUGCAAGUCGAACGACAGCACAGUAAGAGCUUGCUCUUACGAGUGGCGCGUGGCGGACGGGUGAGGAAUACAUCAGAAUCUACUUAUUCGCGGGGGAUUACGUAGGGAAACUUAUGACAAUACCGCAUACAACCUACGGGUGAAAGCAAGGGAUCUUCGGCCCUCUCGCAGCUAAAUGAUCCGAUGUCGGCUUAGCAAGUUGGCGGGGUAGAGGCCCACCAAGGCGACGAUCCGGAGCUGGUGUGCGAGGAUGAUCAGCCACACUGGAACUGAGACACGGUCCACACUCCUACGGGAGGCAGCAGUGGGGAAUAUUGGACAAUGGGCGCAAGCCUGAUCCAGCCAUACCGCGUGGGUGAAGAAGGCCUUCGGGUUGUAAAGCCCUUUUGUUGGGAAAGAAAAGCAGCAGGUUAAUACCCCGCUGUUCUGACGGUACCCAAAGAAUAAGCACCGGCUAACUUCGUG